rnacentral:rRNA from 1 species
GACGAACGCUGGCGGCGUGCUUAACACAUGCAAGUCGAACGGAAAGGCCCCUUUGGGGGUACUCGAGUGGCGAACGGGUGAGUAACACGUGAGUAACCUGCCCUUGACUUCGGGAUAACUUCAGGAAACUGGGGCUAAUACCGGAUAGGAAUCCUUGCUGCAUGGUGGGGGUUGGAAAGCUUCGGCGGUUUUGGAUGGACUCGCGGCUUAUCAGCUUGUUGGUGGGGUAGUGGCUUACCAAGGCUUUGCCGGGUAGCCGGCCUGAGAGGGCGACCGGCCACAUUCAGACUGGGAUACGGCCCAGCCUCCUACGGGAGGAAGUCGUCGGGAAAAUUGCACAACGAGCAGGAGCCUUAUGCAGCAACGCCGCGGGCGGGAUGACGGACUUCGGGUUGUCAACCGCUUUCAGCAGGGGCGAAGCUUGUGGUGACGGUACCUGCAGAAGAAGCACCGGCUAACUACGUG